UACAAGUGGAAAUAAAUUUGUCAAUCUGCACCCUUGUAUACUCUGAUGCUAGCAAUACACUUGCUGUUCAUUCUAGGCAUUAACGUUGUUUCAUUAUGCUUUUUCAUUAUUAAUCAUUAUUAAUCAGUUAGUUCCAGUCCCUGUUUACAAGGGUAAUCCAGGGAGUGAGAAUAGAGCACUGAAGAAGGCAGGGAGAGAUGCAAGGAAGAUAGUUCCAGCUUCCUUUGUACUAAUAUAAUCAGGGCUGACCCUAAUUAACACCGGCCUUCCCUUUCCUGGCAACAUUCAUCCACAGAUCUCAGAGACACUCACCUCAUUUCACACCAUUUCUUCUGUGCUAGACUGGGAAACUCCCACUUUCCUGGGGACAAACCUGAGGCACAGAGUGGUGAAAUCGUUUGUUUGAAAGAGCUUUCUGACUCCAAAGUGUCUCGGCUGAGAGCUGAGAAGUCCUGGCUUCCUCUUCAUCCAGUAUCACCCCCAGAAACGUCUGGACCUUUCACCCAUGCAUAAAACUACUGAGAAAGAGGACUGAACAUGCAGCCACUUUGGGAGCUGACAAGCAUGGAAAGAAUGAGGUACAUGACAUAACUGAAAGCACCAUUGUGACACUGUAUGAAUCUGUGAUGCAUCCACAACUUGGAGAGUACAUUCUGGUCCCCUCCUCACUCCAAAUGACAUAGAAGAACUUGUUGAAGUAAAGGAAGGGCAACAAAGAGAUGUGUUGCAACACUAGACAUUUGCAUCAGCAUCUUCAAGAGUGUUCAGUGCAGCCACCAGCGAAAUGCCCGAUACUGGUCAUGGUCAGGGAAAGGCCACUGCAGUGGUCUGAGCAGCUGGGUGAUCCAGUGAGGCAGUCCUUAUGCUACAGAAAGGAUACCUGGAGGAGAGGGCUGGGUCACAUCAAUGGAGGGAGAAAUAUCUGCUUAUGGAAUACAGGUGGCUUCAAAAUCUC